rnacentral:rRNA from 1 species
UACGGAGGGUGCAAGCGUUGUUCGGAAUCAUUGGGCGUAAAGCGCGUGUAGGCGGUCUUGUAAGUCUGAUGUGAAAGCCCGGGGCUCAACCCCGGAAGUGCAUUGGAUACUGCUUGACUAGAGGACGAGAGAGGGAAGUGGAAUUCCUGGUGUAGGAGUGAAAUCCGUAGAUAUCAGGAGGAACAUCGGAAGCGAAGGCGGCUUCCUGGCUCGUAACUGACGCUGAGACGCGAAAGCGUGGGGAGCAAACAGG